GGAAAGAAACUGGAGAAGGGGGUGGACGGGCAGGUCAGGAAUCCUGUGUGCGGCCUUCCCCGUUUUUCGUCUACUUGCAGGUCUACAAGUCCGUUUCCCAUGGCCCCGAUUCAGCGCCAGGCUGAUAGACCUCAAACCGUGGGGACUACUGCUGGAGUCUCUGAUGCAGGUAUACGGACUGCAGCCCCAAGGUCAUCGACAGCUGGAGGUUCGGCCUAAAAAGGACGACCAAGCGCAUGUCCAAUGUUAAGCCCACCAUUACGUCACUGUACCCUAAAAUAUGGGUGGGUCCUACACUAAAUGUAAACAGUUUCCAAAGACUCUCCUAAAACGCUUUCCACAGGAAAUUUAACUACAUCCUUGUCUCUGGUGUCCUCAAUAGUGGGAUACCAGAGUACAAAAGUGGUACAGGUGUGUAUGUAUCUAGGUGCUGUAGUGUGUAUGUGUGUACUCGCACGCAUACGGGAGACUACAAAACUGACCUAUGAUGGACGAGCCAUAGUGAGAUAAUGCCUAGUGACAGGUGGGGAAAGUGACACUUGAAGGCAGUAGCUACACCUUUUGUCAAGUUUUGUCAUGUUGCCAGGGCAAAAUUUUCACUCACCUAUGCUAUAGCCUUGUUAGACAAUAUUCUUUCAUGGAACUAUGCUGACAUAAUUUACUUCCAGGAAAGACUAAACAGACUACAAUUUCCAUUCAAUUUGAAUUAUCUGUUGGUAGAUUUUCACUACCAUUUCAUCUGAAUGGGUGGCCAUGUUCUAGUUCCUUGCCUAUUAGGUUUUUGUGGUUGUUGGCAGUCUUUGCCUGGAACACAUGUCACUUCUGGAUAGAAAGCAUCUAACUUUUUAAAUGUACAAAGAGGGACACUUUAACUUUAGGGAUGUGAUUGGAGGUCUGGCCAAGUGUGGGGCUAUUCUGAGAAAUUUUAGGUGAUUUACUACUAACAAUGUAUGAUACAAAGCUGACCCAAUAUCUCUAAAAAUGUUCAAGAACUGCUGAAUGCUGUUGGAGAAAGUCUCAGUCUGCACCUGACUUCCUCCACUAUAAAUGUAUCCUGCGCUUCUACACUCUGGCUCUUUCCUCUGCAAAAGUAAAUAACUUCAAUGCCCUCAUAACCACACUCUUCUGCCAACCCAAACAACUAUUUCACACUUUUAAUGCUCUCCUUCGCCCUGCUGCUCCCCCUCCUCCUAGCAUCCUGUCCGCCUCAAACUUUGCAACUCACUUCACUGAGAAGAUUUCUACAAUCAGGGAAGAGAUCUCUAACCUCUCUUCCUCCCCUUCCAAUACAUCACCCAACCCCAGGAUAAUAUUCAGGAAUUCAUUGGGAAGAAAUGUGUUAUUAGCAAUAAUCAGCAUGGUUUUAUGAAACAUAGGUCAUGUCAAACUAACCUAAUUGCAUUCUACGAAGAAGUAAGUAGAAGAUUAGAUCAGGGUGUUGCAGUGGAUGUGAUCUACUUGGAUUUUGCCAAGGCAUUCGAUACCGUUCCUCACAAUAGGUUAGUCUUCAAACUAAAAGAAAUUGGUCUAGAUGAAUAUUCUUGUUCUUGGGUAGAACAUUGGCUUAAGGAUAGAGUACAACGAGUUGUCAUUAAUGGUAAAUUUUCAAGCUGGACAAAAGUGGUAAGUGGUGUCCCUCAGGGUUCUGUUUUGGGACCGCUUCUAUUUAACAUAUUUAUAUAUGAUCUUGAAAUGGGCAUUGAAAGCCAUGUAUCAGUGUUUGCAGAUGACACAAAACUUUGUAAAGUAAUAAAAUGUGAGCAGGAUAUUGCCAUGCUGCAGAGGGAUUUGGAUAGAUUGGGGGACUGGUCACUAAAAUGGCAGAUGAAAUUUAACAUAGAGAAAUGCAAAGUUAUGCACUUCGGGGUUAAGAAUGCACAAGCAAUUUACACCCUAAAUGGCAGUGAACUAGGGAUAACCACACACGAGAAGGAUUUGGGAAUUGUUAUAGACAACAAAUUAGGCAGCAUUAUGCAAUGUCAAUCUGCCGUUGCUAAGGCCAGUAAGGUUUUGUCAUGUAUAAAUAGGGGCAUAAAUUUUCGAGAUGAAAAUAUAAUUUUGCCUCUUUAUAAAUCGCUGGUAAGACCACACCUUGAAUAUGCUGUGCAAUUUUGGGCACCCGUUCUAAAGAAAGAUAUCAUGGCACUAGAAAAAGUGCAGAGAUGAACUACAAAAUUUAUAAAAGGAAUGGAGCAUUUUAGUUAUGAAGAAAGGUUAAAAAAUGUAAAUCUCUUUAUUUUGGAAAAACAUUAUACAAAUAUAUUCUGGGCCAGUACAAACCAUUAUCUGGAAAUCUAUUCAUAAACAGGGCUAUACAUAGGACAUGAGGUCACAUAUUUAGGCUGGAAGAAAGGAGAUUUCAUCUAAGGCAAAGAAAAUGUUUUUUUACAGUAAGAGCAAUAAGGAUAUGGAAUUCUCUGCCUGAAUAGGUGGUUUUGUCAGAGUCUAUACAGAUGUUUAAACUGCAAUUGGAUAAAUACUUGCAAAAACAUAACAUACAGGGAUAUAAUUUCUAAUUAGUGGGGUAAUAGCUGCUUGAUCCAAUGAGACAUCUGACUGCUAUUUUGGGGCCAAGAAGGAAUUAUUUCCUAGUUUGUUGCAAAAUUGGAAGCGCUUCAGACUGGGUUUUUUGCCUUCUUUUGGAUCAACAGCAAAAACAUAUGUGAGGAAGGCUGGACUUGAUGGACACAAGUUUCAUUUCAGCUAUGUAACUAUGUAACUAUAUAGAGACACUUGGUAUUGAACAAGAUGGUUGGGAUGGUUCCAACGGAAAUGUUAUGCCCUUACUUAAUUAAAAUGAUUACCCACUGCUCAUGCCCUUUGCCUUGAGCAUGUAAACAAAAGGCAUCACUUGUUCAAGUCUAAGAAACUGGUAUGAAAUUGAGGCAUUUUUCAACGUUAUGCAAUUUUAGUCUAGUUUUAAUACAGAGGGUUCAACAGGCUAUGAGAAACACCUGCAUUGCAUUUGUCAUGUGCCAGUAGCUCAUUUAAAAAAUAACCCAAUGCAGUAAAUAUUGCGGAAAAAUAUUGUCUGCAAGCAGGUGACACUGCUAUCAUUUCAACACAAAUACUUAGAAUGUAAGGCUAGAUAGGGAUUCACCUUCAUGAAUAUUAUUUAAAAAAUCUAAGCAUCGGGGCAAGUUACUUAAUUGUAAUAAUACAAGCGCUUUUAUGCUAUAUAAUUAUGGAGAUAUACGAGGGACAGCAGUGUUAAAGAACACUUGUCAAUUAUAUGGGCUUGUACUGGAUAACAUUGACACAGCAGCAAAGCCAAGGGCAAAGUAAAAUUUAAGGUUGCUUAUAUAAUGCAUGGCAUGACUCCAAUUCUAAAUAAGGGACAUGCAUGGCACUAGGUGGGAUUUAUAAUAAUGAACACUGACACUACCUAAGUAUAACCAGAAUUGUCGUUUACUAUUGCUCGUGGUCAGCAGUACACUGCACGAAUGCAAGUUUUAUUCUGCUACUUAAACUAGGUUGCUUGCUGUGAAUUAAUUUGAGGACUCGAAGAAGAGGGGGGAAGACAGAACUAGAGUAAUGGCCAAUAAAAGUCUAGUGUACUUUUUCAGAAAAGGCAAAACGGAUAGCAAAAUGUUACAUAUAUCUAAAUGUAUUUAUGUAUCUUUUUCAGAAAAUUAGAAUAUGCAGGUUAGUGUUUUAUUUAAUACAGAGGUGGAAGAAAUAAGGUAGAUAAUGUUUAAGAAACAAAAGUGUCCUCACAGAUUGUGAAAAUAGCACUUAAAAAUAGUCAUUUUUAGGUAGCAGCUGUGGGCACACUCAGAGGAUAUUCAAACACAGCAAAUUAAACAAAGGAGUCCUCACAGUCUUGUAGAACUUUAUUUGGUUAUAUAAGUUUGGAAUCACUUAUGCACUUUUUUGUAUGGUUACAGAUGAAGUUUAGUAUAGGACUAGGUGCAUCUGAUUUCUUUGCACAACACAAUAGCUGACUAAAAGCUGGCCAUGUGUUAUAUGAUUAACACGAUAAGGAUGAAGGAAAUUGUCCAAGUUCUGAACCAAAAGUAAGGUAUGUCUUUUUGCUGAUGAUACUAAGAUAUGUAACAGGCUUGAUGUUCUAGGAGGCGUAAGCCAAAUGGCAAAUGAUUUAGGUAAACUUGAAAAAUGGUCAGAUUUGUGGCAACUGACAUUUAAUGUGGAUAAGUGCAAGAGAAUGCACCUUGGAUGUAAAAACCCAAGGGCUGAGUACAGAAUAUUUGAUAGAGUCCUAACCUCAACAUCUCAGGAAAAGUAUCUAGCGGUAAUUAUUUCUGAUGACUUAAAGGUAGGCAGACAAUGUAAUAGAGCAGCAGGAAAUGCUAGCAGAAUGCUUGGUAGUAUCGGGAGAGGUAUUAGCAGUAGAAAGAGGGAAGCGCUCAUGCCAAUGUACAGAACACUGGUGAGACCUCACUUGGAGUAUUGUAUGCAGUACUGGAGACCGUAUCUCCAGAAGGAUAUUGAUACUUAAGAGAGAGUUCAGAGAAGGGCUACUAAACUGGUCCAUGGAUUGCAGGAUAAAACUUACAAGGAAAAGUUAAAGGAUCUGAACAUGUAUAGCUUGGAGGAAAGACGAGACAGGGGGAUAUGAUAGAAACAUUUAAAUACAUAAAGGGAAUCAACAGAGUCAAAGAGUAGACUAUAUUUAAAAUAAGAACAGUGACCACAACAAUAGGACAUAGUCUUAAAUCAGAAGGGCAAAUGUUUAAAAAUAAUAUCAGGAAGUUUUAUUUUUCUGAGAGGAUAGUGGAUACAUGGAAUAGCCUUCCUGCUGAAGUGGUAGAGGUUAACACAGUAAAGGAGUUUAAGCAUGAGUGGGAUAGGCAUAAGGCUAUCCUAACUAUAAGAUAAGGCCAGGGACUAAUGAAAGUAUUUAGAAAAUUGGGCAGGCUAGAUGGGCCGAAUGGUUCUUAUCUGCCGUCACAUUCUAUGUUUCUAUGUCCAGGACCCUCCGGGCAGACUGGAUGUGCCGUCACAUUCUAUCUUUCUAUGGGUUUGUUUAUCCAUCAUUUGAGGGGUUUACUUUAAGUGCCCUCAUACAUGUUCUAUAUUGCUUAUUAUAGGACAGAAAGUGCUUUCUUUUAAUAUCCCAUAUGUAUACCUAACACAACAUUAAGUGUGAAUAAAAUGAGGAAUUUUUAUGUUUUCAGCAUUUUUGUUUAGAAUAUUUUUUUACACUGUGAAGGACAGGACUGUAACAUAACUAUGGUUAUGUUACUGGUCUGUCAUCAUGGCAGGCCUAUGUUGUCCCUUGUUUUGCCAAAGAUGCCAGGAACCAUAAUGAUGUUCCCCUAUUGCUUUUUGUACAAAGCAUAAUUCUAAAGGUAAACUGACUCUGCAGGAUUACAUUGUGUCAGAGUAAAUGAGACAAGGACAUUGGUUGAUGGUUUACCCCUUGCAGUGCAUGCACCUCCUUAGUACACAAUUAGGGAGACAGAGUGUGGUCUUUUAAUUGGAUUUGUAUGUGUUUCUUGAAGCAUCCAGGUAUAUUGUUGUUGUCCACUAUAGAGUAGUUGCUCCUAGAGAAUUGCUAGUGGACUAGAUAGAUAGAAUAUACUAUAUGAGCUGGAGCUAUCCGUGCACAAUAUCCUGUAUUGCCAGUAGAUACACGAUUAAAGUAACGAGUCUUAGCGCUUAGUAUAACGGUUAGCUGUGCAGGUUCGCAAAAGAUACCCCCAAAAAAUAACGUGUCUGAACUGCUUUACCUUCUGUAGCAGAGACACCAGCUCUGUAUUGUCACAUACACAUCCAGUGCAAUUUAAAAAAAAAACCCUCAAAAUAGAUUUAGUCCUGAUUGUUAAAUGCCUUGUAUGUCUAGGAUCUAAAUUCAUUUUUGGCAGUUAACACUAUCCAUAUACCAGCCCCAAUUGCUAUACCAACUUUACCCCUAACCCUAUGCUAACACUAACUAUCCAUUCACCUGCAUUAGCCUUACCACAAACCUUAAUACUACAAAAUCGCUAACGAUAACAGCAUUAAUUCAAACGCUAAUGCUAACCCUACACACACUCUAAAACUAACUCUGAGACCCUCUGCUAAUAUCAGUACUGAUAAAAGCAGAUGGGUUUCCUAGUUAAAGCAGUAAAGCGAU
rnacentral:lncRNA from 1 species